CGCAUAGCUCAGUUGGUAAAGCAGGAGAUUCCUAAUCCCAGAAUUGUGGGUUCAAGUUCCACAUUGGGUGAAAGA